rnacentral:tRNA from 1 species
ACACAGAUAGUAUAUAAGUACAGCUGCCUUCCAAGCAGAAAGUCCAAAUUCCGGUCAGUGUA